rnacentral:rRNA from 1 species
UACCGCAUGCGCCCGUUCGGGGAAAGCCGGGGACCUUCGGGCCUGGCGCGAUUGGAUGAGCCCAUGUCGGAUUAGCUAGUUGGCGGGGUAAUGGCCCACCAAGGCGACGAUCCGUAGCUGGUCUGAGAGGAUGAUCAGCCACACUGGAACUGAGACACGGUCCAGACUCCUACGGGAGGCAGCAGUAGGGAAUAUUGGACAAUGGGCGCAAGCCUGAUCCAGCCAUGCCGCGUGAGUGAAGAAGGCCCUCGGGUUGUAAAGCUCUUUUGUCCGGAAAGAAAAGCGCCGGGUUAAUACCCUGGUGUCCUGACGGUACCGGAAGAAUAAGCACCGGCUAACUUCGUG